AUUGAACGCUGGCGGCAGGCCUAACACAUGCAAGUCGAGCGGAUGAAGGGAGCUUGCUCCUGGAUUCAGCGGCGGACGGGUGAGUAAUGCCUAGGAAUCUGCCUGGUAGUGGGGGAUAACGUCCGGAAACGGGCGCUAAUACCGCAAACGUCCUGAGGGAGAAAGUGGGGGAUCUUCGGACCUCACGCUAUCAGAUAAGCCUAGGUCGGAUUAGCUAGUUGGUGGGGUAAAGGCCUACCAAGGCGACGAUCCGUAACUGGUCUGAGAGGAUGAUCAGUCACACUGGAACUGAGACACGGUCCAGACUCCUACGGGAGGCGGCAGUGGGGAAUAUUGGACAAUGGGCGAAAGCCUGAUCCAGCCAUGCCGCGUGUGUGAAGAAGGUCUUCGGAUUGUAAAGCACUUUAAGUUGGGAGGAAGGGCAGUAAGUUAAUACCUUGCUGUUUUGACGUUACCAACAGAAUAAGCACCGGCUAACUUCGUG
rnacentral:rRNA from 1 species